UGGACUGGGAAAGAGAGAGAGAAAGAGUACAAUGAGAAGGUGAUGGUUGAGAUCUACAAAUCAAUGAUGGCUCAUGGACAUUAGCUCCCUCGUGAUG